UGCUUGCAUCGGGGAUUAGUGGCGAACGGGUGAGUAACACGUGAGUAACCUGCCCUUGACUCUGGGAUAAGCCUGGGAAACUGGGUCUAAUACCGGAUAUGACUCCUCAUCGCAUGGUGGGGGGUGGAAAGCUUUUGCGGUUUUGGAUGGACUCGCGGCCUAUCAGCUUGUUGGUGAGGUAAUGGCUCACCAAGGCGACGACGGGUAGCCGGCCUGAGAGGGUGACCGGCCACACUGGGACUGAGACACGGCCCAGACUCCUACGGGAGGCAGCAGUGGGGAAUAUUGCACAAUGGGCGAAAGCCUGAUGCAGCGACGCCGCGUGAGGGAUGACGGCCUUCGGGUUGUAAACCUCUUUCAGUAGGGAAGAAGCGAAAGUGACGGUACCUGCAGAAGAAGCGCCGGCUAACUACGUGCCAGCAGCCGCGGUAAUACGUAGGGCGCAAGCGUUAUCCGGAAUUAUUGGGCGUAAAGAGCUCGUAGGCGGUUUGUCGCGUCUGCCGUGAAAGUCCGGGGCUCAACUCCGGAUCUGCGGUGGGUACGGGCAGACUAGAGUGAUGUAGGGGAGACUGGAAUUCCUGGUGUAGCGGUGAAAUGCGCAGAUAUCAGGAGGAACACCGAUGGCGAAGGCAGGUCUCUGGGCAUUAACUGACGCUGAGGAGCGAAAGCAUGGGGAGCGAACAGGAUUAGAUACCCUGGUAGUCCAUGCCGUAAACGUUGGGCACUAGGUGUGGGGGACAUUCCACGUUUUCCGCGCCGUAGCUAACGCAUUAAGUGCCCCGCCUGGGGAGUACGGCCGCAAGGCUAAAACUCAAAGGAAUUGACGGGGGCCCGCACAAGCGGCGGAGCAUGCGGAUUAAUUCGAUGCAACGCGAAGAACCUUACCAAGGCUUGACAUGGACCGGAUCGCCGCAGAAAUGUGGUUUCUCCUUUGGGGCCGGUUCACAGGUGGUGCAUGGUUGUCGUCAGCUCGUGUCGUGAGAUGUUGGGUUAAGUCCCGCAACGAGCGCAACCCUCGUUCCAUGUUGCCAGCACGUAGUGGUGGGGACUCAUGGGAGACUGCCGGGGUCAACUCGGAGGAAGGUGGGGACGACGUCAAAUCAUCAUGCCCCUUAUGUCUUGGGCUUCACGCAUGCUACAAUGGCCGGUACAAAGGGUUGCGAUACUGUGAGGUGGAGCUAAUCCCAAAAAGCCGGUCUCAGUUCGGAUUGGGGUCUGCAACUCGACCCCAUGAAGUCGGAGUCGCUAGUAAUCGCAGAUCAGCAACGCUGCGGUGAAUACGUUCCCGGGCCUUGUACACACCGCCCGUCAAGUCACGAAAGUUGGUAACACCCG
rnacentral:rRNA from 1 species